rnacentral:tRNA from 5 species
GCCCAUAUAGCUCAGUGGUAGAGCACUUCCUUGGUAAGGAAGAGGCCGGCGGUUCAAUCCCGCUUAUGGGCUCCA